rnacentral:lncRNA from 1 species
GGGCUGUGCUGUCCUCACUCUUUUGCAGGGUACUGGAGUCAACUUACCAGCUGGAAAUUUCUCACGGGUGGAGAAAUUUCCUACACAGGCUCUUCUGUGUCAGGGAUUCUCCUCCCAGACCCAGCUGCUGAGCUGAAUGCCACUAAGAAUAAUUACCAAAGAACUGCUGAAGAGGUUGCACAGAGUCUGGGGUGAAGCAGAUGGAAUCCAAAAGGCUCCAAGGACAAAAAUUAUGGGGAAAGAGAUCAAGGGAGCCACGAUGGACCCUAGCCUUCUGUUUGUCGUCAGGUCUUCUUCAUCUGUCCUUAAUUCCAAGACCACAAAUGGAGGAAAGCUUCCUCCUAACAGUUCUGAUUUCAAAAGGAAGUCAAAGAACUGCUACAAACUGUUAAAACCUCUGACUAGAACUGGCAAAAGCCACAUUCAGCUACACGCCACUGAAGAGAACUAGUCUUAUUUUUUUUUAUUUGGUUCCUUUUUUGAACUUUUUAUUGAUUCUUUUUAAUUUCAUAUUAUGCAUCUAAAUCCCAGUCACCUGCCCAUCCCUUCCACUCUUUGCCAUGUAAUAACCCACCAAAACAAAAUUAAAUAAAAU